AAGUAUAUCGAGUUAGUACCUUGUGGUUUCGCACUUUCUUACUUUAGUAUCCUGUGGUUUAAAGUGUAUCAAAUUAGUACUCUGUGAUUUCAUUUUUGUAUCAAGUUAGUACCCUGUGGUUUUAUUUUUCUCUUUUUAUUAUCCAUUUCGAAAUUUUUUUUUCGUUAAAUCAGUGACAAAGUUAAAACUAAAGGGUACUAAAAUAAAUAUUCGAUAAACCUAGGUAAAGUAUCUGAAGUUUUUUUUGUAUAUAAUUUAACGAAAUAUUAAACCACAUGGUACUAAAAUGAGAAAGUGCGAAACCACAGGGUACCAACUUGAUACAUUUUAAACCACAGAAACUAAAGUGAGAAAGUGCGAAACCACAAGGUACUAACUUGAUACACUUUAAAUUAC
rnacentral:lncRNA from 1 species